CUUUUUUUCCGCGCCAAAACUCAAAACUUACUGCCAGCACGUCCCAUUGCGUACUCGGAAGGGAGGGGGGGAAAUUGAGCUAAAGCCGUUCCUUAUGACACCUGUAAAUUACUUCUCACUAUUCUAUAUAAAAUUUCACAGUUCGCAAAGAGGGGAGAAAGAAAGUUAAUAGUAGACUUUUUUUUUCCCCUGAAGGGAUACCCCCUAUUUUCUUUAGGAGAUAGUUUAGUCCAUUGUCUUGUGAGUUAAAUUUUUAAAGCUUAACCCUUUUUACCACGCAUAGCCGCAAGAAUAAAGGAAGAGCGCCAUCUAAAGGCCAGAGGAUAGACAAGACGGAUAUUGCGAAGAAAUUGUCCUGUAAUUUUUACAGGCAUUUAUCUGCAAACUGGUAACAUUGUACAGUACGGUAGCUGCUAUGUGGCUUUGGAGACGGACUAGGAGAGGGAGGCAUGUCAAGGAGUGGCAUGGAGAACAGCCGAAAUCUGUAGUUCUUCCACGUACAGUCCACGCUCACCUGACAACCAAGAGCUGCUCUUAGGAAGGUCAAUACAUUUGCAGAAACAGGAGCUGCUCCUGUAAUCAUUAGUUUGACUUUUCCUCCCAGAUUUGCCUAAGGAAAGGAAAAAAACAAACAAACCCCAAACAUCGUCACUUCAACAACCACAGGGAAGCCAAAAAUCUAUGGUGAGUGGCACUUGGAUCAUACUUGGAAGAAUAUUCAACAGCCCAAAUCCCUUGAACUCUUUCCAAAUAUGUGUGUUUGAAGGCAGCCUGGAGUCACAUGAAUGAAUAGAUUAUUCUUUCAAGGAGCAUUUGUUACAGUGCUGCUGCCAGGUAUGUUUUACCCUGUCACUUCAUCUAAAACUAACACAGGCCAUGAAAUAUUGUUAAAUAGUCCUUCUGAAACCAAAUAUGGGUAUUAAGAAAGACCAUAUUGGGCCUCACCUGGCAAUGCUAUAACAGAAAGAAGAGGCAACCUAUUCCAUUUACACAAUAAUAAAUUUUACUGCCCCAACAGGAAGGGAAUCAUAUUUGCAUUACACUGCAUCAUAUCCAAAUACACAUAAUACGUGAUUAA